rnacentral:rRNA from 1 species
AGCGAACGCUGGCGGCAUGCCUAACACAUGCAAGUCGAACGAACUCUUCGGAGCUAGUGGGGGGCGGGUGGGUAACACGUGGGCACGUGCCUAUCGGGUCGGUAUCACUCAGGGAAAUUUGUGCUAAUCCCGUAUGUGCCUUUCGGGGGAAAGAUUUAUCGGCUUUAGAGCGGCCCGCGUCUGAUUAGCUAGUUGGUGAGGUAAAGGCUCACCAAGGCGACGAUCAGGAGCUUGUCUGAGAGGAUGAUCAGCCACAUUGGGACUGAGACACGGCCCAAACUCCUACGGGAGGCAGCAGUGGGGAAUCUUGCGCAAUGGGCGAAAGCCUGACGCAGCCAUGCCGCGUGAAUGAUGAAGGUCUUAGGAUUGUAAAAUUCUUUCACCGGGGACGAUAAUGACGGUACCCGGAGAAGAAGCCCCGGCUAACUUCGUG